rnacentral:rRNA from 1 species
CAUCAUGCCCUUAUGACCUGGGCUACACACGUGCUACAAUGGGCGGUACAAAGGGUCGCGAACCCGCGAGGGGGAGCCAAUCCCAAAAAGCCGCUCUCAGUUCGGAUUGCAGGCUGCAACUCGCCUGCAUGAAGCCGGAAUCGCUAGUAAUCGCGGAUCAGCAUGCCGCGGUGAAUACGUUCCCGGGCCUU